rnacentral:rRNA from 1 species
GGGUUGUGAGGUUAAGCGACUAAGCGUACACGGUGGAUGCCCUGGCAGUCAGAGGCGAUGAAGGACGUGCUAAUCUGCGAAAAGCGCCGGUAAGGUGAUAUGAACCGUUAUAGCCGGCGAUGUCCGAAUGGGGAAACCCAGUGUGACUCGUCACACUAUCAUUAACUGAAUCCAUAGGUUAAUGAGGCGAACCGGGGGAACUGAAACAUCUAAGUACCCCGAGGAAAAGAAAUCAACCGAGAUUCCCCCAGUAGCGGCGAGCGAACGGGGAGGAGCCCAGAGCCUGAAUCAGCUUGUGUGUUAGUGGAAGCGUCUGGAAAGUCGCGCGAUACAGGGUGACAGCCCCGUACACAAAAGCACACAGGCUGUGAGCUCGAUGAGUAGGGCGGGACACGUGGUAUCCUGUCUGAAUAUGGGGGGACCAUCCUCCAAGGCUAAAUACUCCUGACUGACCGAUAGUGAACCAGUACCGUGAGGGAAAGGCGAAAAGAACCCCGGCGAGGGGAGUGAAAAAGAACCUGAAACCGUGUACGUACAAGCAGUGGGAGCCUCUUAAUGGGGUGACUGCGUACCUUUUGUAUAAUGGGUCAGCGACUUAUAUUCUGUAGCAAGGUUAACCGAAUAGGGGAGCCGAAGGGAAACCGAGUCUUAACUGGGCGUUAAGUUGCAGGGUAUAGACCCGAAACCCGGUGAUCUAGCCAUGGGCAGGUUGAAGGUUGGGUAACACUAACUGGAGGACCGAACCGACUAAUGUUGAAAAAUUAGCGGAUGACCUGUGGCUGGGGGUGAAAGGCCAAUCAAACCGGGAGAUAGCUGGUUCUCCCCGAAAGCUAUUUAGGUAGCGCCUCGUGAAUUCAUCUCCGGGGGUAGAGCACUGUUUCGGCUAGGGGGCCAUCCCGGCUUACCAACCCGAUGCAAACUACGAAUACCGGAGAAUGUUAUCACGGGAGACACACGGCGGGUGCUAACGUCCGUCGUGAAGAGGGAAACAACCCAGACCGCCAGCUAAGGUCCCAAAGUCAUGGUUAAGUGGGAAACGAUGUGGGAAGGCCCAGACAGCCAGGAUGUUGGCUUAGAAGCAGCCAUCAUUUAAAGAAAGCGUAAUAGCUCACUGGUCGAGUCGGCCUGCGCGGAAGAUGUAACGGGGCUAAACCAUGCACCGAAGCUGCGGCAGCGACACUGUGUGUUGUUGGGUAGGGGAGCGUUCUGUAAGCCUGCGAAGGUGGCCUGUGAGGGUUGCUGGAGGUAUCAGAAGUGCGAAUGCUGACAUAAGUAACGAUAAAGCGGGUGAAAAGCCCGCUCGCCGGAAGACCAAGGGUUCCUGUCCAACGUUAAUCGGGGCAGGGUGAGUCGACCCCUAAGGCGAGGCCGAAAGGCGUAGUCGAUGGGAAACAGGUUAAUAUUCCUGUACUUGGUGUUACUGCGAAGGGGGGACGGAGAAGGCUAUGUUAGCCGGGCGACGGUUGUCCCGGUUUAAGCGUGAAGGUGUGUGCUCCAGGCAAAUCCGGAGUGCUUUAACACUGAGGCGUGAUGACGAGGCACUACGGUGCUGAAGUAACAAAUGCCCUGCUUCCAGGAAAAGCCUCUAAGCAUCAGGUAACACGAAAUCGUACCCCAAACCGACACAGGUGGUCAGGUAGAGAAUACCAAGGCGCUUGAGAGAACUCGGGUGAAGGAACUAGGCAAAAUGGUGCCGUAACUUCGGGAGAAGGCACGCUGAUAUGUAGGUGAAGCGACUUGCUCGUGGAGCUGAAAUCAGUCGAAGAUACCAGCUGGCUGCAACUGUUUAUUAAAAACACAGCACUGUGCAAACACGAAAGUGGACGUAUACGGUGUGACGCCUGCCCGGUGCCGGAAGGUUAAUUGAUGGGGUCAUCCGUAAGGAGAAGCUCUUGAUCGAAGCCCCGGUAAACGGCGGCCGUAACUAUAACGGUCCUAAGGUAGCGAAAUUCCUUGUCGGGUAAGUUCCGACCUGCACGAAUGGCGUAAUGAUGGCCAGGCUGUCUCCACCCGAGACUCAGUGAAAUUGAACUCGCUGUGAAGAUGCAGUGUACCCGCGGCAAGACGGAAAGACCCCGUGAACCUUUACUAUAGCUUGACACUGAACACUGGUCCUUGAUGUGUAGGAUAGGUGGGAGGCUUUGAAGCGUGGACGCCAGUCUGCGUGGAGCCAUCCUUGAAAUACCACCCUUUAAUGGCUGGUGUUCUAACGUGGACCCGUGAUCCGGGUUGCGGACAGUGUCUGGUGGGUAGUUUGACUGGGGCGGUCUCCUCCUAAAGCGUAACGGAGGAGCACGAAGGUCAGCUAAUCCUGGUCGGACAUCAGGAGGUUAGUGCAAUGGCAUAAGCUGGCUUGACUGCGAGCGUGACGGCGCGAGCAGGUGCGAAAGCAGGUCAUAGUGAUCCGGUGGUUCUGAAUGGAAGGGCCAUCGCUCAACGGAUAAAAGGUACUCCGGGGAUAACAGGCUGAUACCGCCCAAGAGUUCAUAUCGACGGCGGUGUUUGGCACCUCGAUGUCGGCUCAUCACAUCCUGGGGCUGAAGUAGGUCCCAAGGGUAUGGCUGUUCGCCAUUUAAAGUGGUACGCGAGCUGGGUUUAGAACGUCGUGAGACAGUUCGGUCCCUAUCUGCCGUGGGCGCUGGAGAAUUGAGGGGGGCUGCUCCUAGUACGAGAGGACCGGAGUGGACGCAUCACUGGUGUUCGGGUUGUCAUGCCAAUGGCACUGCCCGGUAGCUAAAUGCGGAAGAGAUAAGUGCUGAAAGCAUCUAAGCACGAAACUUGCCCCGAGAUGAGUUCUCCCUGAGACUUUAAGUCUCCUGAAGGAACGUUGAAGACGACGACGUUGAUAGGCCGGGUGUGUAAGCGCAGCGAUGCGUUGAGCUAACCGGUACUAAUGAACCGUGAGGCUUAACCUUACAACGCCGAAG